GACAGAGGUGCCGAGCGUUAGGCGGAAUCACUGGGCUUAAAGCGUGUGUAGGCGGAUCGUUAAGUGCCUUGUGAAAUCCCACGGCUCACCCGUGGAACUGCUGGGCAUACUGGCGGUCUUGAGCCACCUAGGGGCAACCGGAACAAACGGUGGAGCGGUGAAAUGCGUAGAUAUCGUUUGGAACGCCAAUGGUGAAAACAACUCGCUGGGGAAGUGCUGACGCUGAGACACGAAAGCCAGGGGAGCGAACGGG
rnacentral:rRNA from 1 species